GACGAACGCUGGCGGCGUGCCUAAUACAUGCAAGUAGAACGCUGAAGAGAGGAGCUUGCUCUUCUUGGAUGAGUUGCGAACGGGUGAGUAACGCGUAGGUAACCUGCCUUGUAGCGGGGGAUAACUAUUGGAAACGAUAGCUAAUACCGCAUAACAAUAGGUGACACAUGUCAUUUAUUUGAAAGGGGCAAUUGCUCCACUACAAGAUGGACCUGCGUUGUAUUAGCUAGUAGGUGAGGUAACGGCUCACCUAGGCGACGAUACAUAGCCGACCUGAGAGGGUGAUCGGCCACGCUGGGACUGAGACACGGCCCAGACUCCUACGGGAGGCAGCAGUAGGGAAUCUUCGGCAAUGGGGGCAACCCUGACCGAGCAACGCCGCGUGAGUGAAGAAGGUUUUCGGAUCGUAAAGCUCUGUUGUAAGUCAAGAACGAGUGUGAGAGUGGAAAGUUCACACUGUGACGGUAGCUUACCAGAAAGAGACGGCUAACUACGUG
rnacentral:rRNA from 1 species